rnacentral:rRNA from 1 species
GGGUGUGUAAUGGAUGAAAGUCCUUUAGCUGACCAGUACUAAUAGCUCGUUUGCUUAUCUUUAUAUAAGCAU